rnacentral:rRNA from 1 species
UCCGUGCCAGCAGCCGCGGUAAUACGGAGGGUGCGAGCGUUAAUCGGAAUUACUGGGCGUAAAGGGUGCGUAGGUGGUUGAUUAAGUUAUCUGUGAAAUCCCUGGGCUUAACCUGGGAAGGGCAGAUAAUACUGAUUGACUCGAGUAUGGGAGAGGGUAGUGGAAUUUCCGGUGUAGCGGUGAAAUGCGUAGAGAUCGGAAGGAACACCAGUGGCGAAGGCGGCUACCUGGCCUAAUACUGACACUGAGGCACGAAAGCGUGGGGAGCAAACAGGAUUAGAUACCCUGGUAGUCCACGCUGUAAACGAUGUCAACU